rnacentral:rRNA from 1 species
GGCGAACGACGUGCCAUCAGCUGGUGUGAUAGGGAGGGUGGGAGGUGUAACUGGAAGGUGUGUGGGUAAAGUGUGCGCAGGCGGCCGAGCAAGUCGAGUGUGAAAGCCCCGGGCUUAACUUGGGAAUGGGGCUCGAAACUAGUUGGCUGGAGUGUGGCAGAGGAAGGUGGAAUUCCACGUGUAGCGGUGAAAUGCGUAGAUAUGUGGAGGAACAGCAAUGGCGAAGGCAGCCUUCUGGGCCAACACUGACGCUCAUGCACGAAAGCGUGGGGAGCAAACAGGAUUAGAUACCCUGUAGUC